rnacentral:rRNA from 1 species
GACGAACGCUGGCGGCGUGCUUAACACAUGCAAGUCGAACGGAAAGGCCCUGCUUUUGUGCGGUGCUCGAGUGGCGAACGGGUGUGUAACACGAGAGUAACCUGCCCUUGACUUUGGGAUAACUUCAGGAAACUGGGGCUAAUCCCGGAUAGGAGCUCCUGCUGCAUGGUGGGGGUUGGAAAGUUUCGGCGGUUGGGGAUGGACUCGCGGCUUAUCAGCUUGUUGGUGGGGUAGUGGCUUACCAAGGCUUUGACGGGUAGCCGGCCUGAGAGGGUGACCGGGCACAUUGGGACUGAGAUACGCCCCAGACUCCUCUGGGAGGCAGAGGUGGGGAAUAUUGUACAAUGGGCGGAAGCCUGUUGCAGCAACGCCGCGUGCGGGAUGACGGCCUUCGGGGUGUAAACCGCUUUCGCCUGUGACGAAGAGUGAGUGACGGUAAUGGGUAAAGAAGCAACGGCUAACUACGUG